rnacentral:rRNA from 1 species
GACGAACGCUUGCGGCGUGCUUAACACAUGCAAGUCGAACGGAAAGGCCCUGCUUUUGUGGGGUGCUCGAGUGGCGAACGGGUGAGUAACACGUGAGUAACCUGCCCUUGACUUUGGGAUAACUUCAGGAAACUGGGGCUAAUACCGGAUAGGAGCUCCUGCUGCAUGGUGGGGGUUGGAAAGUUUCGGCGGUUGGGGAUGGACUCGCGGCUUAUCAGCUUGUUGGUGGGGUAGUGGCUUACCAAGGCUUUGACGGGUAGCCGGCCUGAGAGGGUGACCGGCCACAUUGGGACUGAGAUACGGCCCAGACUCCUACGGGAGGCAGCAGUGGGGAAUAUUGCACAAUGGGCGGAAGCCUGAUGCAGCAACGCCGCGUGCGGGAUGACGGCCUUCGGGUUGUAAACCGCUUUCGCCUGUGACGAAGCGUGAGUGACGGUAAUGGGUAAAGAAGCACCGGCUAACUACGUGCCAGCAGCCGCGGUGAUACGUAGGGUGCGAGCGUUGUCCGGAUUUAUUGGGCGUAAAGGGCUCGUAGGUGGUUGAUCGCGUCGGAAGUGUAAUCUUGGGGCUUAACCCUGAGCGUGCUUUCGAUACGGGUUGACUUGAGGAAGGUAGGGGAGAAUGGAAUUCCUGGUGGAGCGGUGGAAUGCGCAGAUAUCAGGAGGAACACCAGUGGCGAAGGCGGUUCUCUGGGCCUUUCCUGACGCUGAGGAGCGAAAGCGUGGGGAGCGAACAGGCUUAGAUACCCUGGUAGUCCACGCUGUAAACGGUGGGUACUAGGUGUGGGGUCCAUUCCACGGGUUCCGUGCCGUAGCUAACGCUUUAAGUACCCCGCCUGGGGAGUACGGCCGCAAGGCUAAAACUCAAAGGAAUUGACGGGGCCCCGCACAAGCGGCGGAGCAUGCGGAUUAAUUCGAUGCAACGCGUAGAACCUUACCUGGGUUUGACAUGGAUCGGGAGUGCUCAGAGAUGGGUGUGCCUCUUUUGGGGUCGGUUCACAGGUGGUGCAUGCCUGUCGUCAGCUCGUGUCGUGAGAUGUUGGGUUAAGUCCCGCAACGAGCGCAACCCUUGUUCACUGUUGCCAGCACGUUAUGGUGGGGACUCAGUGGAGACCGCCGGGGUCAACUCGGAGGAAGGUGGGGAUGACGUCAAGUUCUCAUGCCCCUUAUGUCCAGGGCUUCACGCAUGCUACAAUGGCUGGUACAGAGAGUGGCGAGCCUGUGAGGGUGAGCGAAUCUCGGAAAGCCGGUCUCAGUUCGGAUUGGGGUCUGCAACUCGACCUCAUGAAGUCGGAGUCGCUAGUAAUCGCAGAUCAGCAACGCUGCGGUGAAUACGUUCCCGGG